rnacentral:lncRNA from 1 species
GGGAAGAAUGAAGGCAUACCUUUUUUCUCAUGUAUUGCUAAGUCUAAGACCAGAUCCUUUGGAGAAGCAAGUCACACAACCUGAUCAAGAUGUGCAUGUGUGUGGAUGGUGGAUAUGGUGGAUGGUGUGAGGACUCCUUUUUGUAUGAUCCAUCUCUUUCCUAUGCGUUUUCUUUUGGGGACACGGGCUAUCUUUUUUUUCUCUUUCUUUUUUUUUCAUCAUGCUUUCAUGAGCAUGUCUUUUUAUCUCUUUUUGCAUAGCCCAUGUCUAUUUUGUAAGGAUAAGUUUGGAGAGAGAGGUCAUAGAACAACAUGGAGCUUUAUUUUUUGGAUGGAUGUAUGGAUGGUAUAAUUGCUAACUUCCAGUGUAGAAGUUUAGCAUAUGGUGGUGGCAUGUACAUGAUCUUGAUCAUGGGAGUAUGCAAAGCAUCUCACUAAGGGUCACAACAAUUUGACAAAGCUCAAUGAGAAAAUGCAUAUGUGGAGGCUAUUCAAUAGGAUCAACAUAUGGCCUUGGAUAGGAAUUUCUCAUCAUUGAGGAACUUACAAUUUUUUUCAUUUUCAAAAUAUAAACUCCAGAUAUCAAGCAUCAUGUAGAACAAGAUCACAGCAACUCUAUUCUACGAUAUCAUAUCUCACCACAACCUAGACAUGGAUCAUGCUUUUUGCUACCCACAAAUUUCAAGCUAAGGUUUCAUCAUGCAAGCCAACAAACUCAAAACUAAGUAGGAUACUAAGUUGUAACUAGACAUAUGAGAGGAAAUAAAUAGAGAAACUAUCUAUCAUUUCAACCAUGAGGAAUUAAAGCAUUCUUACUGCACAUAGGAAAAUAGUAAAUAUUUUUGGUCUUUUUAGUUUUUCAGAUUUUUAUUUGUUUUUAGCAUGCAUAUUCUGAAAGCGGUAAAGAUACAAGCUAGCUUCAGGCUCACUAUCCCUGGUUGGGGUUGUACCCCGCCCAACGAAAGUGAACUUUCCACUCCUCCUCUUGCUACUGCUACAGUGCACUUUGACAAGCUGGAUACCCAAACUUGCAACAAAAGUGUGACAACAUGGGGCAGCAUCCAUGUGGGCAAAUGAACUUUCCCCAAGUUGUUGCUUUCACUGAGUUCAAACCCAUGGAAUAGAGCAAAUAGAGGAAGAGAGUUUCCUUGCUUCUUUCUCCUAAGUGAAAUCUAUCAAAAGAACCUAAGAGCCAAUUCAGGGGAGGAGUGAAUACCAUGGAUGGGCAAGACUCCUCUCCCAUUCACCCCUUGUAGAGUUUAGGAGAACAAAUGGUCGGAUGACGACUGGGAGUGACAACUUAGAAGUUGUUGAGGCAAGUGAGACCUAAAAAUGAUGGACUUGGUCGAAUUGGAGAUUCUAUCGACACAUAGUAGGUUUCCAUUGCUGCCCCUCCCCCCUCCCCC